rnacentral:lncRNA from 1 species
UCGUCCAUUGACACUGCGAGAGAUCCUCUAGAAGUCCAAGCCGUGCCUCAUCAAGAAGGAAUCAAUCACUGGCUGGAGACCUGGUCCCUGCCUUGGCUGAGGAUGGGCCUCCCACUGUGGCCCCUGGGCCAGUGCAGUCCCCACUGCCGCUAUCGUCUGGCCGGUCAGGCAAACCAGGCACAGGGCCGGCCCAGGUUUCCUUGUGAGCUCAGCCUGACUCCCAUCUCUGGGGCCAAGCCCUGAGCCACUGGCUACUGGCUACCUGGGCUCAGUGGCAGCCAAGCUGCCCCUGCAGGAGGACCGCCUCCUCCCCAGCAGAGGUCAAGGCCAAGACCUACAUCCAGACUGAACCGCCCUUCAAGACAAAGACCAUUCACAAGAAGACCUCCCACUCCUCCACCGAGGCCUGCUGCGAGCUGUGUGGACUUUACUUUGAAAACCGCAAGGCUCUGGCCAGCCACGCACGGGAACAACUGUGGUAGUUCAACGUGACCGAGUGGCGCAUCAGUGGUUCGCCCAUCGAGACACUGAGCGAGUGGAUCAAGCACCAAUCCCAGAAGCUGGGCGCCUACCGCAGUUAUACAUCCGGGGCAGCUGCACCUUCACCAAGAAGUACCGCAGUGCCAGCCAUGGCCAUGACAGUGACAAGCGGCCGUCCCUGAGCUGGCACCCAGGCGCCUGGCCGUGGUAGGCUGCAGUGCUGGGGGCCUGGGAACCAGAGCCUGAGGCUGGCUGGGCAGCCCACAGUGGUGAGCAGCCUCUGGCAGCCAGGCCGCUGGACACCGUGAAGGCUGAAGCGCAUCAGCGGCAGAACAUCAACAAAUUCGAAUGCCGACAAGCUCGUCCUCCAGAUGCCUCCACAGCCGGGGGAGGUGAGGAGACCGAUGACCUACAGCAGAAGCUGGAGGAGAGUCUCAUUCUGCUGCUCAAGCUGGAGUACAGUGGCGCAAUCUCAUCUCACUGCGACCUCCGCCUCCUGGGUCAAAGCCAUUCUCAUGCCUCAGCCUCCUGAGUAGCUGGGAUUGCAGGCAUGCACCACCAUGCUCAGGUAAUUUUUAUAUUCUUUAGUAGAGA